rnacentral:lncRNA from 1 species
ACCCGGACGACUCUGACAUUUUUGAAGAGUCCAGAAUCCUGUUACACCUGGGAUUUAGGCACUUUCAAUCUGAAAAAAUACAUAUCCUUUCAGCACUCUGGACGGACUUGAGAACUGUCCUUACGUGACCUAAAGCUGGAGUAUUUUGAGAUUGGAGAAUUAAGAAGGACAGAAUAACGGGCUCCCAGAUUCACAAGCCCCACCAAGAGGAUCACCCCAGGAACGCUUGGAGGCUGAGGAGUUCACUGAGGCUACUGCAUCUUGAGACUCAGGAUGAAGACCCAGCUUGGGGCUGUCAAAGAGGCCUGAAGAGGCAGAACACCCCAGAGGAGCCUGGGGCCACCACCCAGCAUCACUGUGGGAAAACGGCAGCAGGAAAUGUCCUCUCGCCUGCGUGCUCCACCUCGGUCCACGCCUUCCCUCCUUCUGGAAGCCUUGCCUGACCACUGGCCUGCCCCUUCUAUGGGAAUCACUACUGACCUUGCAGCUUAUUAUAGACUUAUAUGUUUUUUGCAUGUCUGACACCCAUGACUCCACCUGGACCUUAUGGCUCCACCCAGAAGCAAUUCAGCCCAACAGGAGGACAGCUUCAACCCAUUACGAUUUCAUCUCUGCCCCAACCACUCAGCAGCAAGCACCUGUUACCUGUCCACCCCCACCCCUUCCCCCAAACUGCCUUUGAAAAAUCCCUAACCUAUGAGCUUUGAAUAAGAUGAGUACGAACUUCAUCGCCCACGUGGCGUGGCCGGCCUCGUGUCUAUUAAAUUCUUUUUCUACUACAA